UACGGAGGAUGCGAGCGUUAUCCGGAUUUAUUGGGUUUAAAGGGUGCGUAGGCGAGCUGUUAAGUCAGCGGUAAAAGCCCGGGGCUCAACCCCGGCGAGCCGUUGAAACUGGCUGUCUUGAGAUGUCGAGAGGUAUGCGGAAUGCGCAGUGUAGCGGUGAAAUGCUUAGAUAUUGCGCAGAACUCCGAUUGCGAAGGCAGCAUACCGGCGGCGAUCUGACGCUGAGGCACGAAAGCGUGGGUAUCGAACAGG
rnacentral:rRNA from 1 species